rnacentral:rRNA from 1 species
GACGAACGCUGGCGGCGUGCUUAACACAUGCAAGUCGAACGGAAAGGCCCUGCUUUUGUGGGGUGCUCGAGUGGCGAACGGGUGAGUAACACGUGAGUAACCUGCCCUUGACUUUGGGAUAACUUCAGGAAACUGGGGCUAAUACCGGAUAGGAGCUCCUGCCGCAUGGUGGGGGUUGGAAAGUUUCGGCGGUUGGGGAUGGACUCGCGGCUUAUCAGCUUGUUGGUGGGGUAGUGGCUUACCAAGGCUUUGACGGGUAGCCGGCCUGAGAGGGUGGCCGGCCACAUUGGGACUGAGAUACGGCCCAGACUCCUACGGGAGGCAGCAGUGGGGAAUAUUGCACAAUGGGCGGAAGCCUGAUGCAGCAACGCCGCGUGCGGGAUGACGGCCUUCGGGUUGUAAACCGCUUUCGCCUGUGACGAAGCGUGAGUGACGGUAAUGGGUAAAGAAGCACCGGCUAACUACGUG